AUACGUAGGGGGCGAGCGUUGUCCGGAAUUAUUGGGCGUAAAGGGUUCGCAGGCGGUCCUUUAAGUCAGAUGUGAAAGACAUAGGCUUAACCUAUGUAAGCAUUUGAAACUGAAGGACUUGAGUUAAGGAGAGGAAAGUGGAAUUCCUAGUGUAGCGGUGAAAUGCGUAGAUAUUAGGAGGAAUACCAGUGGCGAAGGCGACUUUCUGGACUUAUACUGACGCUGAGGAACGAAAGCGUGGGGAGCGAACAGGAUUAGAUACCCUGGUAGUCCACGCCGUAAACGAUGAGUGCUAGGUGUUGGUGGGAGACCAUCGGUGCCGCAGCUAACGCAUUAAGCACUCCGCCUGGGGAGUACGUACGCAAGUAUGAA
rnacentral:rRNA from 1 species